AUCAAGGAAUUGGUGCAGUCUGAACCGUCACUUCCUAACAUAGAGAUUGUAGAAAAAUGCUUUGGACCUCAAAGUCGUAGUCAUGUAUUUGGCUUUGGGGGUGGAUUAAAGGCGAAAGAUUUGAAAGGGGGAACUACCUCAAAAACUGAAUUAUUGGCUAAGCUACGUUCAACUGAAAAUGAAAACCAGUCUUUGAAGGAUCGUCUGUCUAACUUCGAAAAUGAGAUGAGAGAACUGAGGAAAAUAAAAGAAUUAGUAUUAGCGCAACAAACGAAUUUCCAGCCUCCAGCUGAGGAAAAUGACUAUUUGGAUCCUUGAUGAUACCAGGUUUUGGAUAUUGAAGUUUACGAGAAAGCCGAUUUUUGACGACAUAGAAAUCAACCACAAUUUUGCUUGGAAUUUCAAGAAAAUUUUACAUUACAAUCGAGGGAUAUUAUUAGUAUAUGUAGUUUUUUGCUAAAUGUUUAUGAACACAAUAUUGUGACUAGCUUAAAUCAUUGAUGUACGAUUCAACUAAUUAACUGAUGUUGAUCA